AAUCCAUAGGUUAAUGAGGCGAACCGGGGGAACUGAAACAUCUAAGUACCCCGAGGAAAAGAAAUCAACCGAGAUUCCCCCAGUAGCGGCGAGCGAACGGGGAGGAGCCCAGAGCCUGAAUCAGCAUGUGUGUUAGUGGAAGCGUCUGGAAAGGCGCGCGAUACAGGGUGACAGCCCCGUACACAAAAGCGCAUGUGCUGUGAGCUCGAUGAGUAGGGCGGGACACGUGGUAUCCUGUCUGAAUAUGGGGGGACCAUCCUCCAAGGCUAAAUACUCCUGACUGACCGAUAGUGAACCAGUACCGUGAGGGAAAGGCGAAAAGAACCCCGGCGAGGGGAGUGAAAAAGAACCUGAAACCGUGUACGUACAAGCAGUGGGAGCACCCUUCGGGGUGUGACUGCGUACCUUUUGUAUAAUGGGUCAGCGACUUAUAUUCUGUAGCAAGGUUAACCGUAUAGGGGAGCCGUAGGGAAACCGAGUCUUAACCGGGCGUUAAGUUGCAGGGUAUAGACCCGAAACCCGGUGAUCUAGCCAUGGGCAGGUUGAAGGUUGGGUAACACUAACUGGAGGACCGAACCGACUAAUGUUGAAAAAUUAGCGGAUGACCUGUGGCUGGGGGUGAAAGGCCAAUCAAACCGGGAGAUAGCUGGUUCUCCCCGAAAGCUAUUUAGGUAGCGCCUCGUGAAUUCAUCUCCGGGGGUAGAGCACUGUUUCGGCUAGGGGGCCAUCCCGGCUUACCAACCCGAUGCAAACUGCGAAUACCGGAGAAUGUUAUCACGGGAGACACACGGCGGGUGCUAACGUCCGUCGUGAAGAGGGAAACAACCCAGACCGCCAGCUAAGGUCCCAAAGUCAUGGUUAAGUGGGAAACGAUGUGGGAAGGCCCAGACAGCCAGGAUGUUGGCUUAGAAGCAGCCAUCAUUUAAAGAAAGCGUAAUAGCUCACUGGUCGAGUCGGCCUGCGCGGAAGAUGUAACGGGGCUAAACCAUGCACCGAAGCUGCGGC
rnacentral:rRNA from 1 species